GCCAGCUCCUCUGGGCUGUGUUGCUUUGCUCUUCUCUGCCGGGCCAGGGCUAGGAAGCCUGGCUUCUGCGUUAGCUUCUUCCAGUCAGAGGCAGUCUCAUUUGACAAGCAGAAUGAAUAGAGGCAGAAGCCAUCAUCAGUAUUAUUCCUCCAGCAGAACACAGCUUUGUCAGAGAACAGAAGUAAGCCAGUGGGUUCCAGACAGUCUCCUGAGCACCACUCAUUUUGGUGCCGCAGGGAACAAUCUACGAGUUUCCUGCAUGAAGUCACCCAUUUGAAGAUUCUCAAGAAUCCAUGGGAAUCCUUUAUUUACACCACCAAAAUGUUACAGUCAGGCAAGAACUUGAAAGUUGAAUCAUCUUAAUGUCAGGAAAAGAAAGCACAAUUAUCUACAGAGGCAACUACAGACAGUUAAUAGACUGAAGAAAGAAAGAGAGGGAUCUUACAGAUCUUUUCUCUUUAAAAGAACUGGGCCCCAUUCAAAGAGGGAGGCCUAUUGAAGCAGCUCAGGCAUAUUUCAAAAAAUUACAUCUUGAACAGAUUGGAGUCAGUAUCUACAUAUAGGCCAGGAAGGGUACACAGAGCAAAUAAAUCUAAAAGCAAAUGCUGGCUGAAGAAGCCCUUGAAGAUCAAAGAAGUCACAUCAUCCUAAUCUCAAGGCUAACUGGCUAUCAGCCUUUCACCUUGUGAACCACAGAGCCAAGGCCAAAGAGAACAUGAGGGGCUUUGUAUCAGAAAGGCUUGGGCAGCACAGCCGCAUGGCUCCUGCUCGUCCAGAGGUUGCCCCGACAGAAUCACUGCUGUGGCCAUCUGGAAGCAAAAAGGAAACAAACCUCCCCAAAUGCCAUUAAACUGUGUCUGGGGCUGGCGGCAGGCAACAGCAUCCUUCAGGGAAAUGGGAUUGAGUUUAAGCAAUUGUGAAAAGACACUUCCUUAGCAGUGUACGCAGGAGAGAAUUUUGUGAGAAAAUAAACUUUACUU